rnacentral:rRNA from 1 species
CAUUGCCGUCCACCGCAUUUUAGGGCCGCAGUAUCUUACUGUGCAAGGUAGCAUAAUCAUUAGUUUUUUAAUUGAAAGCUGGAAUGAACGGUUUGAUGAGAAAAUAGCUGUUUCAAUAUUAAUUUUUUAAAAUUUUAUUUUUAAGUUAAAAAGCUUAAAUUUUUAUAAAAGACGAGAAGACCCUAUAGAGUUUAAUUAAUUAAAUUAUUUUAAAUUUUAGAAUUAAUUUUUUUUAAAUAAUUAAAUUAAUUUAAUUGGGGUGAUUAAAAAAUUAAAUAAACUUUUUUUAUAUUUAUACAUUUAUUUAUGAAUACUUGAUCCAUAAAAAUGAUUAAAAGAAU